rnacentral:rRNA from 1 species
AUUAAACGCUGGCGGCAUGCCUUACACAUGCAAGUCGAACGGCAGCACGGGGCAACCUGGUGGCGAGUGGCGAACGGGUGAGUAAAGCAUCGGAACGUGCCCUGGAGUGGGGGAUAACGUAGCGAAAGUUACGCUAAUACCGCAUAUUCUGUGAGCAGGAAAGCAGGGGAUCGCAAGACCUUGCGCUCUGGGAGCGGCCGAUGUCGGAUUAGCUAGUUGGUGGGGUAAAGGCCUACCAAGGCGACGAUCCGUAGCGGGUCUGAGAGGAUGAUCCGCCACACUGGGACUGAGACACGGCCCAGACUCCUACGGGAGGCAGCAGUGGGGAAUUUUGGACAAUGGGCGGAAGCCUGAUCCAGCCAUGCCGCGUGAGUGAAGAAGGA